UUACUUUGAAACCUGAAACCUGCAAACACAAGGUGAGUAUUAUCUCAAGCAAUAGUGAUAUGUGCUUGUUCACCAUAGAAAGUUGAAAACUUGGCUCCUCCUAAUGGGCCCAUUCCUGGAGACAGAAUUACUUUUGAUGCUUUCCCUGGAGAGCCCAACAAGGAGCUGAAUCAUAAGGAGAGGAUUUGGGAGCAGAUCCAACCUGAUCUUAACACUAUUAAUGAGUGUGUGGCUCCAUACCAAGGAGCUCCCUUUGAGGUGAAAGGGAAAGGAGUGUGCAGGGCUCAAACCAAAACCAACAGUGGAAUCAAG
rnacentral:lncRNA from 1 species